UUUUUUUUUUUUUUUUGUUAUAUUACAUCAAUGGCUUUUCGUUUUUCAUAGUGAAAUGAAAUAAUAAAAAGAAAUGGUAAAAAGAGAGUGUAAGAGGACAAAAGAGAGAAAAUUAAGAAUUGUGAUAAAUGUUAAAACACUUUAACAAAAAGUGGAAAAAGAGAGAGAGAGAGAGAGGACAAAAAGACUGUUACAAUGAACGAAAAAUUACACCUUCGUGUUUUAAUUUACAAUUUUGUAAUGAAAUUUCACGUGGUGGGUCUCAAAAUUAAGAAAAGCAAAGAAAAGAAAACCCCCAAAAUUUUCGAAUACUUUAUGAUUAAAAACCCGAAAACAUACAGAUGGGAAAAUUCGAAAGGGAAGGAAAAGACAAAGAGAUAAACUAAACUUCAUAUUAAUUACUUAUGAAUCUCGCAACCCUUCAAACAAUAUUUUCAACAAAACAUUCCAUCACACUAUUAUUCAUUCAUCAUUUUGUUUACACAGUUUACUGUUAAAACUAUUCAUGAAUAUAUGAUAGAGUAGUACACUAAUUGUAUAUUUAAAAAUCUCUUUCUUAGACCUCAUAUUACUUAUAAGAUAGAUAAAUAUCUAUCUCAUUGUCAAUUGAUGUUAAGAUGGGAUUACAAUAUUUAAUAUGACAUUAGAAUUCAUAAAAUUUGAACAUGAAGAAUGAUGAACUCAAAAGAAGCAUCUCCUUGAAAGAGCAUUAUGAGAAUCACAAAUUGAAAAACCAAGAGAUUUUGAGAUAAAACUUGCCUACCAUCUAUAAUAAAUUUCUCAAUAAUAUCAAUUGUUGAAAGUCAUCAUAAUAUCAGAGAGCAUGAAGUCCCAUGUGUUUAAUCUUUGCAAUGUGAUUAUUUUCUAAUCUUCAUAAUCUGUUAGUUGAUUACUAAUUUAAGUUGACAUAUAGGGAAUGUAGUGCAAAUUAAAGGAAAUCUUUUCCCCUUCUUCCAUUUUGAUUCAAAUAAUGAAAUAAUGGUUUAAUUGAGAGUCAGAAAUGAAAGAGAGGGGGAAAGAUCAGGAGGCCAUUGGAGACUGAAAAUUCUGGUGAGCCUGUUUGCUUUAUUUCUGUUUGCUUUGGUGUUAAUGGAGGAGAGAGAAAGCAAAGGGAGAUGCUGAGCCAUGUGGAAGGCAGCUCAUUCAUUCUCUCUCUGUCAAAACAAAAAAAGCAAACCAGAGCUUAGAGAGAACUAAUGGAUUUUGUAGGGCUCCAAGGGAUUUUCUUCCUUAAAAUUCUGCCUCCAUCAAUAUUAUUAUUAUUCUUUCAGAGCAGCCCUUAAUUUUGGUCUUUUUAUUUAAAAAAUAUUAUUAUUUUUUUAAAUAAAGGCUUUGUUUUGGAUAAAGUUUUUUUCUUUUAAAAAGAAUUUAAAUAUUGUUACAAUACAUACUGCCCUUUACUACCCAACCUCUCACUUUUUUUUAAAAAAAAAAUAAAUUUAAAUUAAUCUAUGAGUUUAAAGUAACAUGUAACUUCUUUGUACUUAAUUAUUGUUUUGCCUUAAUAAGGGUUGAUAGAUUAGAAUAUAUAUACAUAGAUUAAUUAUGAAUAACCAUGUAUAUAUAUUAUCCUGGCCUGUUGAAAGAAUCUUUGCUUUGUUCUAUAAAAGAAUACACUGCCAAAAGCUUUCCACUUUAUUUUCCCUACUCCUAGAUCAGCAAUCAGCCCCCACUGUCAAAAAUGCACUUACAACAUCAAAAUGGGAGGCCUCUUGGAACUACCUACCCUCUUUCCAAACCUUGCUUUAUAAUUUGGAUUAUCUUGGAACACUGGAGGAGUAACAAGUAAAUUUAAAGGCAACUAUUUGACAUUGAUAUUUUCUGAACAGUACACCUCUUUUAACACAUCUACUUGAAAAGAAAUAAUCACUUGUUCAACAACUAAAUUACCAUCUAUACCUCAAUUUUAGUCAACUUAAAAAAUAAAAUAUCUAUAAACCUUAAUUAAGUACGGUUCGCAAAGCCAAAGGCUAAAAAACUGUGUAUCAAUAUACAUAAAAUGGGGAGGAAUAUGAACUCCAUGCAUGUAGUAGGGAAUGAAUGUAAGAAGUAACGUUGAGCUGGCUUUGGUAAGUGGAGGUAAAAGUGGAUGGAAAACGUGUCAACUUUGAAUUUUGCGUACCAUGUUUUUCCUAACUUUUGUGGACUUAAUUCCUCCCUUUUAUAAUUUAUAACUUUUUUAUUUUUUAUAAAAAAAACGAUACAUAUUACUAACGUAAUAUUAAAUUUUUAUUGACAUGUUGAUAUUUUCAUUGUAUAAAAAUUUAUAUAAUAUAAAAAGUAAACAAUCAAAUGUUGCCAUAUAGUAUAUAGUUUAAGUAAUCAUCUUAAUUUGGUAUAAAAAUGGUAAGAUGUUUAUUUAGUAAUUUAAAUUUAUUUUAUAGAAAUAUUGGUUGAAAUGAAAAUUGUAUGGAUUGAAAUUUUUGUUAAAUUAAUUAAUACAUCAAUAUUUUCUAUCAACAUCUAUAUUAUAUUUCAAAACAUUGGUGAUCACUUGAUUUAUUUCAUAUACCUGAAUAGUUUAGAGUGACAAAUAAAGAAAUAAAAUAAGAAUAGGAAUGAGAAUAUUAUGGUAAAAGAGAAGUAAAGAAUUUGGAAUAUUUGAAUUAGUAGGGGGAGGGGGGGUGGUCCAUAGACCAUUAACCAUAAGUAUAGGAGAGGACAACCACAAGUUCAUUCGAUUUUCCUUCCCACCACCGCCACCACCGCCGUCCCUAUCAAUCAAGAGAUUCCAAAUAGAAAUAGAUUUUUUUUCUUUUAAAAAAAUGUAGUGAGAGAGAGAGAGAGAGAGAGGUGUAGCCAUCAAUGGCUGACCACAACCCAACUUGCAGCGACAAAGAUCUCUAUCCUUUGAUUCAUUAUCACACUUUUGUGUAAUAAAAACAAAGCCCACUCACUUCUCCAUCUUUUCAUUUCUCAUUUUUAAACCAUAAAUUAAAACAUGAUAAUCACUUGCAAUAUUCCUCUUCUUUUGGGUUAAAAAGUUGAGCUACAAUAUUUCUAAACAGGAGGUAUUAGAUUGUUCUGGCGGCUAAUUUGACUGUAAUAGUCAAUAAAUCAAUCAUAACAGUUUGCAAAAUGUAGACUUAAUCUAAAUUUAGUAGAAUAACCAAAUGUUUUCAAAUAGAUGUGUGGUAAGUAAGCAUAAGUUAUAAUCGUUUAUAAUCCAACACGAUGAAAAAGAUGAUAUCCGAUGAUAUUAAAAUUCAUCAUAUUUGAAUAGUUUAACUUCGUAGAAAGUUGACGUGAGACCAUAACUUGCGGUAAGAAAUGGAUGGACAGAGCUCAAAAAUAAAUUUGUGCAAUUAUAAACUCUUAUAUUUGAGGAUGAUGAAACAAUUUUGGUAUAUAUUUUUUCUUUUUUUAGUUCAAUACCUACAUGGAAUUGUUAAGAUAAAAAAAAACAACAAAGAAAAAAAUAGAUAUAAAGAUUGACAUAGUUUAUUAACAUUGUGUUAUAGUAAUCUUAUUGAGAAGGAUAAUUAUAAAAUUUUCGAGUUUGUGUUGGGUAUACGUGGCAGUGAAUGGAAUAGAAAUACAUAAGAGUCAAAGUUGGAUAAAAUAGAGAAGAUGAUGACAAGUAGAUACAAGUGAGUUAGUGGAGAAAUGUAUAUAAAUAGAUGAAUUUGGAGUUUGGAGUAUGUGAUUGAUUUAAAUUGGUUGGGAAGUUCCAAAAUGACCCAAUACCAUGUCUUACGGACGCGGCUUGAUCAGAUGAUACAAAUUAUGAGUAUCGAUUGGUCACUGUCAAACCCUCCCUUUCCUUCAAUUUCCAUGCAAAAUACUCAUACCUCCACUUUCCCCUUAUCACAAAAUUACAAUCAACCCCCCCUCUUUCUUCCUUUCACAUCCAUCAUCCUCAUCUUAACAGUAAUACCAAAUAAAUCAGAAUAAUUUAUCUUAGAUCAAAAGAGAUUGAAUGGGUGUGUUAAGCCAUAAUUCAAUGCACUGUUCCUCCUCUCUUAACUGUUGGAUACUGAGAACGUUAAUUUUGUUCGUUGUAAAUGUAAUGUAAUUCAGUCAGGUUAUUCUUUUUUUUUUUUUUUUUUUGUUUUGACACAAGGCUCCCGCUCUGUCUAAGGGUCUUUUUAGAAAUCCGUUGAGAGUGUAAUUAACUUGGAUUAAGUGAAUGAUUUGGUACUGAGGACAGAUUAGUUAAAGGUAAUUUGUCUAUAUUAUUAAAAGGAAAAAGAUAGAGAAAUUGAUUUGAUGGGAUAGAAGGGGAAAGGGUGUUUGUUAAAAAUGGGACGUUGGAUGGUAAAAGCAAGAAGAGGGGAAGUUUUCAGUAUUUGUAAAUGGUAGGGUGUGUCUGAUUAUGGGUUUUUAAAAGGUAUUUUGGACUGUUGUUUAUGGCACUAUCAACCCUUCAACGAUCCUUUGGGCCCUCAAGAAUGUUUCUUCUUCACAAUUUCCCCUCUAUGUCAUUUCCAAUACAUUCUUUUUCAUUCCUUAAUUAUUUGUAACUUUCCUUCUCUUCUUCUUCUUCUUCUUCCAUUUCAUUGCACUGUUUUUGUUUGUAACAAUCUACUUAAAAUUAACUUUACUCUAGCUAGGAAAAAAGAGAAAGAACAAAAAUAUGAAAAUUCACUACUAUUUACUUAAUCUUUUUGCUGCGAAAGGAAAGUACUAUUCAAGUGUGUUAUACAAUAACGUCCUAAAAUUGAAUUAUGAUGGAUUUUCCAGUAUGAAGUUUUAAAGAAUAUAAAAGGAUAUAGAUGAAGAGAAAAAGGCUUUAUCCAAUUAUCCAAUUUUACCUAGAUUGGAAUUUAGGUUAGAAAAAUUUGAGAAUAUAAAAUUUGUUUGUAAUUAACUAAAAAAUUAUAAAAGUUUGGACUAUUUAGUUUUUUAAAUAAAAUUGACAAAUAGAUAGCACACCUUAUGAUUAAAUAAGGUUUGUCUUUAUCAUUUCUGCUUUGUUCUUUUGUUUAAUUUGUUUUUACAAAAUUUGUUAUCAUUUCCGUUGAAGAAUGAAUUGUUGAACCAAAAAGAAAAAGAAAAACGCAUCUAAACAAAAGCUCUGCUUCGGACUGGGAAUCAACUUGGGCCUUUCCUAAAUGGGCUAGACCUCCCUCCCCGGCCCAAUAAGUUUUGUUUAUGUUUUUUUUUUUUAAUAUAUAUAUAUAUAUAAAUGAGAAAAAUAAUUGAUAUAAAACAUAGACUUAAAUAUUGUUGUCUUUCUUUAUGAUUUUUCAAUUAGUCUGCAUCAUUCUAAAUUAAAAUAUUAAUUUGACUAAUGAUUAAUAAUUGGAAUGGCAUGAGGGAAAAAUAGUCCAUUAUAUAAAAUAAUGACAAGUAUAUGUCUAAAUAUAUAUAUAUUUAUUAAUAAAAUAGACAAUUAGAAUAUAAAGCAAAAUUCAUUACUGGUUAUUUAUUAAUAUUAUCCAAUUGGUAUCAUCUUGUUUGUUUGUUUGUCAAGACUAUAUUGUCUGACCUAAUAUAAUAAAUGUGCCAUUGUUGAUAUUAAUUUAAACAAUAUUAAAACUCGGGAAAGAAUUAAAAUCCCGCAAUCAGUUAUUAUUGUUUUGAAAAUUGAUUAAAGGAUACCCAUGAAAUGAUGAAGCAAGCUUUAUUGUGAAAGAAUCCAACUUUUAUGGCAUGCUAAGAAAUUACAUUCUAAUACGAUAAGGAAGGAUGUGCUUACGUAUAUAAACAUUAUGUCAUAUUAGUACGAUUAUCAUUGAAAUUUAGAAAUGUUUUCAAAGGUGGAGACAGUUGGCAAAGGAGAAUGAGGUUCUGAAUUGAUUUGGCAUUGUGAUUGAGAUGAGUGGACCAAAAGGCAUGGGUACAGCUGCAUUAAUGUGGUCCUUGAUGUAGGUGAUAAUUAGGGAGAAAUAUUAAUAUGAAAGGCAUAAAAGAAUAAAGGAGAGUUGGCCACUUAGCUUCAUACCAAUUGGCGCUCACAAAACCAAAAAUCGUCUCAUUUAAAAAAUGGGCAUUCACUAACUUGCAUAAGCGGGUCACCAUAUGGAGACACGUGGUGGAUGUGUAUAGGGACAUAGUGCUGAAACCAUUGGCUGAUCCGUGGCUGUCACCUUUGGCCCAGGGUUGUUUAAUAAUACACUUGGAAUCGUCCUCCCCAAUCCGAAAAUGACUGUCAACUAUUAUACCGACAACGACUCUUCCUAUAAACGCUUUUCCCAUACCAUACUAUACAUUUCACCAUGUGACAUAUUUCUCUUUUUCUUUCUCCUUCCUAAUUUUACUUCUUUUAAUCCAAAGUAUAUACUUCUAUCAAGUUAUUUGUAUAUUUACUUACACGGAUUUUAAAACCCAAUAUCACUCUUUCUUUAAUUUCUUGGUCAAUUGAGGUAUAUUUUAUGUUGGUUAGUUAAUUCCAAAUAAUUAUGUCUGUGUGUAUAUGGUGAAGUUGAAAGUAGUCAACUUUUUGUUCUUUUUGUAUUGUUUUUAGCAAUUCGUAGGAUGGAGUUUGGACUGUAAUUGUAAAGUUUACUUUGAGUUUGUCCAAUGAUAAGGCUGAAGAAUUUUCAUAUAAUGUUGAGAUGGAACACAAGCUACACUAAGUCACUCUCAUAAAAUAUUUUUUAUUCUUGAUGUGAUACAUAUAGAAUUUUAGGUUACGCAUUACAACUUUAGUCUAUCAAAUUUUAAAUUUGUGUCAAGCAUGUCAUGAAGUACUUUAAACAACUUUUUAAAUUAAUCUUUGAACUAUCAUGUAUCUAAAUAUAAAUUAUUCUUUUUUUUUAUAUAUAUAUAUCUUAGGUCUAAUAUAAAUAAGUUUUCUAAAAUUCAUGAAUCCUAAUUAACUAGACACCAUUCAUAAUAAUCUUUAAAAAAAACAACGAUAAUCUUUGUUAGAUAUUUUUGAAAAAAAGAAUUAUUAGACGCAAAAUUCAAUAUUAAUGUUCCCUUGUUUUAAAAAUAUUUGAAUGUGUUUGUAAAAUUUAGGAAUAUAUCUAUAUUAAACACAAACAUUAACGUUCAUAAAACAAAUUUAUAAUAUCUAAAGCUAAAAGAUAUAUAGAGAUACAUGUAUAUCAUGUCGCACUAUCCACGUUAUUAUCACGAACGAAUAUUACCAAUUGCACCAAGAGGGUUAGAGAUUCAAGUUCAAAUCUCCAUCUCCACCAAAGAAUACUAUAAAUUCAUUGGUAAGUUUUUUUUUAAUAGUUUAAUGAAGUGAAUGAUUGAAUAAGACUCAAAAGAGAAUCCUCCAAACUUAAAAAGCAAUUCUUUAAUUUUUGAAGAAGCAGCAACCACACAAGUGAAAGAAAAGAAUAGCACUUGGACAAGGACACCAAAUAUAUAGAAAUAUAUACAAUUAAUCAUUAAUUAAUGGAUUAAAUUAAUUAUAUAAGGUUGAACUUUUUAAUAUAUGUGUGUCUUUUAAUUUUUUCUUUUUUUUUUUUUUUUUGGUAAGAAAUAGAAAAAGUAUUUAAUAGAUUUUUAAACAUCUAAUUUUCUAACCAAAUAUACUGAGGUAUAUAUUUGUUCAAAAGAAAUUGAAAGACUAGAAACCUAUUAUAGUAAAAAAAGAAAAAGCAAAGAAAAAAAAAUACAAGGUGUGGUCUCUUUCAUUCACUUUCAUUUCCAUUAUAGUUUAUAUUAUAUAUAUAGUCAUGUGGUUCUUCUAACUUGUUCUACACAUAUAAGACUUCUCUUAGAAAAUGGCAAACUCAGAAGAUCAAGGUUGGGAGGACAUGAUUGUAGAUGAUGACGACGACGAUAACGACAACGAAGAAAUAGGGUUUGUAGAUAAUGAGAGGAGGAGGAGAUCUGGUUUAACCAGUGCUCGGGGUGGUGGCGGAGGGGGAAGGUCAACGGUGGCACGUUGCCAAGCCGAUGGCUGCAAUGCUGAUCUGACCGGUGCAAAACCGUACCACCGCCGCCACAAGGUCUGCGAGUUCCACUCCAGGGCGGCUGUGGUGAUUCUGGCCGGAUUGGAACAGCGAUUUUGCCAGCAGUGUAGUAGGUAAGAAAGAAAGCUUCCUCUUUUUUUUUUUUCUCUCAAAUAAUUUUUUUUAAGAAAACCCUAAUCUGGAUCUCUUAAAUUAGUAUUGUUUUUUUAAUCUUUAUCAAAAUGUUUCACUAUUUAUGGAAUAAAUCUAAUAUUCAAGUAUUCUAUUAAGGGGGAAGACAUUUUAAUUUCCAUUUAUACACUAAAGUGUUGAGUCAAUUCUUUUUUGAAUUUUCUAUUGAACAUGAAACAUGUAUAAUUUAAUAUUAUCUUUUUUGAAAAAAAAAAAGUUGUGUUUAAUGGUGAUUAUGUCACCCAAAUGGUUUUAUUACCUAUAGUAAUUACUUUUCAAUCAAGAUAGUAAAAUGCCCAUUAAUAUAAUAGUUAUUGACUAUCAAUUUUAUUUUUUUUAAAAAAGAUUGACCUUCAUUUUUAAGGUCUGAAGUUUUAACAAAGUACUGUUAUAUUAUAUAUUCUUAAUGGUUAAUUAAGUUUGUUUAAAUUAAAGUUGGUAAAUUUGGAUUUUUUUUUUCCCUCUUGAAUAGAGAUUGAAAGGUUUUACAUUAUUGUUAAGACUAAAUGAAUCAAUUUUAGUUGUAAUAACUUUUAAAUUCAAGUGGGUUUGAGUGAGUGAUACAAUUAAUGCUAUAUUCUCACAGUGAUUUUAAAGCUUUCGCUUUCUUAAAAUUAGAGAACAAUUGUGACAUAGGGUUUUGUGUGAUUGGUGAGGAACUAUUCAUUUUAGUGUUAACACUUUUAAUUAUGUUGGAUACUUAAAAUAGUUUGCUUCACAAUAGAGUUAAUUUAGUGGUCGAAAAUAUAUUUGUUGGAAAUUAUUAGAAUGUGAAUAGGGUAGUUUUAAUAUAGUGACAUUUUUUUUGAAAUUAUUAUAAAAAUAGAGGAAAAUCUAUUAAAAUUUAUUUUUGGCAAAUAGUUCUACUUUUUUAUUUUCUGUGAUGUGCAUAUGAAUUUCUCACUAGCUGUAGCCUAUAACAAUAAUGGUGGAAAAAUAAAUUAGAGGGAAGUAAAAUUGAAAAUAUGAAAGGGUGUGGAGGAUUAUAUUAAAUACGCAUUAAAUGUGAAUUAAAUAUAUUAGAUGGGAAUGGAAAAGGGAGAUGGUUUAGUUGUAUUAUGAUGACAGGUUUCAUGCAUUAUCGGAAUUCGAUGACACAAAGAGAAGCUGCCGGAUGCGUUUGGCUGGUCACAAUGAACGCCGCCGUAAAAUCUUACCGGAUUUUCAUGGCCAAUCCUCCACUAAUUGAACCACACACACUCUCACUGUGUCCACUAAUUACCUAAUUAAUAAUAAAUAACAAUAAUGAUACACUCAUUACUAAUGAAGAAUAAGAAGAAGAAGAAGAAGAAAAGAAGAAAGAGCUGCUCGUUAUUGGAGUUAAUUUUGUGUUGAGAGAGAGUCACAGGUCAUUCUGGUUAUUCUGGUCACCAGUCACCGGCGGCCACCGUGAUGAAAAAUGAAUUUUUAUGCUUUCUCUCUUCUGUCAUCAAAAGAAAACCCAAUUUAUAGCCCUCUUUGUAAUCAUAAUAAUAAUAAGUAAAUAGAUAACAAAGAGAUGAUCAGAUGGUUUAUGGUACUUUUUGCCUCAGUCACAUAUCACUAAAAUCUGUGUGGGAUAUCUUUCUUUCUUUUUCUUUAACAUUGUAGCUGUAGGUUAUGUAUGGAAGCCGGCCUAUGUGUUUAAUUUAAUUGUAGUUUGUUAUAUUAAUUAAUGAUGUUUUGUAAAAGAAAUUACCUAGGGCAACCAAAAAGUAUCAUGAUGUAUCAUCUUAUAUAUAUAUUUUUUACUCUUUUAACUUUGGAUUUUACUUAACUUUGGCCCAUGUGAAAUGAAAAAUUAGAAAAAAAAAGUUGUUUUAAUUCUUAUAAAUUAAUUAAGAGACUAUUUAGUAAAAAAAACAAAUAUUAAAAAGUGAAAAAUUUGAAAUUUAGAGGUAAAAUGGAAACAAAAACUUAAAACUAUAAAGUCAAAAUGUAACAUUAUUAUCUAACUUAUAUUUGUGAGACAUUGCUGUGAAAUUCAAACUUUAAUUAAAACCAACACUUUUGUUGAACUUUGUAUUUUGAAAUGAUGAUAUUAAAUUAUUGACGAUUCUGAGUGGGUAAAGCCCUAAUUUUGCAUUGAAAUAAUUAGGGCUCAGUUUUGGGAUAUGUUCAUCUAUUAUAUUAUAUAAUGAGUUAAAAUUAGUGGGUAAAUGUAGUGAAAAUGGUAAUGUAAAAUCCAAAAUCUUGUAUUCGAUUUAACGUGAAACUUCCAUCCAUUUUCUCUAAAUUUUUAAUUUCAUCACAGUUUCAUCUUAAACUUAGACAAGUGAUAACAAUUUUUUUUAACCUUUUAGCUUUAAAAUAUUUGUAAUCUUUACUGUUUCGUAAGUUUUUGUUUAAAGAAAAACUUUCUUUUUUCAGGUUUGAGAUGAAGUUAUUUGUUUUAAAAAAAUAUCUUCAUUUUGUUAAUGUAAAAGAAUCAACAAACUUGAGAACACCCAACUUGAGUAACUACAAUUCCAACAAGCCUCCAAUCUUCUAAACUAGAAGUGAUUAGAAGUCCAUAUUGUAUAACUCAACAAAACAAUUCAGUACAUUUUGAACCAUUCAAAUUAGAUAUGAAAACGAAGAAGUUACGAUCAAAAGAUGGUUUGAAAGAAAAAAUUUAUGUAACAAUGAUAGUGAUAUACAUUUUAGCAUUUAAAAAAAGCUAACAUUCAAUGGAUUAAUUUCUUUAUGUCUAAUUUAACAAUACGUAGAGAGAGUCAUGUAACCCAAUUGACAUAAAGAUGGAUAAAAAUGUUAAAAGUUUAAUCUCUACCCCACAUAUCAUAUGUGACGUCUUGGUUGAUAAAAUAGCCAAAGUAUAGGGGACUUAAUUUUUUUCUAAACCAUAAAUAGGUUAGUAGAGACUUAUUUUUAAACUUUGUAAUAAUUCAUAGAAGUUUUUGAUGAGUUAUAUUAAAAAAUAAGAGCAAAGUUAAAAUGAGUGUAUUUCAUCGAUAAUUUAUAUUUAUUUUUUCUUUUAAAGUUGAGAUUCGUUUGACACAUACUCCUCCUAAGGUUAAAAGUUCAAAUUCUCUUAUACUUACCUAAAGAAAUGAAGUAAUAGAGACAACUAAAUUGAAGUCGAGUUGGCAGCCUACUCAAAUGGUUAAACUCAUACAUAAAAUAUUGCAUGUGCGUUUAAUAGACUAUAAAUUUUGUAAUUUAAAUGCUACAAAUUCUGAAAAUAACAUCUUAAAAAUAUUUGUUACCUUUAGAUUUUGAAGUACAUAGCUAUACUGAAAGAAGAAUAUAUAAAAAGAUUAACAAAUAUAAUAUUUCAUCUUGAAACAAAAUUUUUAACACAUACUCGAUAAAUAUUAAAAAUUAUAAUUAGUUUCUUCAUUUCUAAAUAUAUUAUCAAAUGCAUUUUGAACGUUUAAUUUUAAUUUUCUAAUCUACAACACAAAUGUAUUAAAUCCUCUAUUUUCAAAUUUCUAAAUCAAAGUGGCCCUGUUAACCUCACUUUAUCAUAUGGUUGAUGUGUCAAAAAGUGUUAUCUGUUUUAGUUUGUUGUUAUGUAAUUUAUGGGCAAGCUUUAACAUUUAAUCCAAUAAAAGUUUAACAAAGUGUCAAUCCAAGAAAAAAAAAGAGAGAGAAGACAUAUUUCAAAUAUUUGAUUUGCCACAUUUCCUAUAUCAUUCGUCAUUGCUUUUUAGAUUAUAAAAAGAAAAAGAUAAUUAUAAUAGAUAGCAAUUUAAGAAAUAAUAAUGGAGUAUAUUGCAAUAAGUUUAAUUAUUAUAUUUGCAACUUUUUUUAAAAAAAAUUACAAAUGAGAUGUCCUCAUCUCUAAAGGGUAAUGUCACGGAACCAAUUCAUAUAAAGAUAAAGAAUAAAAUUAUACCAAACACCCGAAACCAAAAGCAACGCUGAACCAGUAGUUCCCAUUAAAAGAUUGAAAAAUGCACCUGUUUUAAUAAUGGUGUCAUAACUUGCUACGGACUAUAUCAGAUGGAAGCAGCCUUUCCCCCUCGUUAUGAAGAGUUGGCUUUCGGAGUACUUCACGCUGUUCGGCGAUGAACUUUGCAAAUCGAGAACCUUUCCCUUUUGAUUCAUGGUCUUCGCCUAGCAAUUGAGGGAGACCUGGUGGAGGAGAGGGCUUGGGAGAUCGCUGUGACAUCAAUGCCCAUAUAGAAGAAAGCUGCUCAUUUGGUUCAUCCAGAACUUUUACAACUGAGAGAUCCUCCAUGUCUGUAAGUGAAAAAACGAACCGCUAUAAAUUAGAAAUAGGACUCAUGCUGUGGUAAUUUAUGGUCAUAGAACGUAAAUGACAAAAGUUGGUCAAGCCACACAAUACGAUUAAAUUCAGCUGGGAAACCUUUGGAGAACCUAUGGAUGGGUUCCAAAGCUGCACAUGGUAUGCUGAAGUUCAAGUGUGGAAUAAUAACUCCUCGCCCAUGCCUUGCAUUGCUGUAUCAACAUUUCAAACAAAUUAUUAAUUUCCAGUAGAAAUCCUCUCCUCUUAUUGGUAUAUGGAUAAAGAGAUACCAAUCAAACAAUUGAAAGCAUCGGCCAAAUAAAACUGAACAAUAUACCUAAGAAUAGCUGCCCACAAACAAAACUAAAUUGGUCCUACACGCCUUGAGUAAUGAUGAGAGGCUAAGCAAAUUUGCACGUACAAGAACCAGAAGAAUCAUUAAAGGUUUCCCAGGUUUUAUGGCGGCUAAAAUUAAAAGGUCAGUAUUCAUUUAAAAGCAGUUAUUCACUUCCAUCCAUCAAGGAUAUUAUAUGUGGAGCAUGAUGCAAGAUAAAAAUCACAAAUAAAUACCUCGAUGAAAUAAGCAGAUAGCUAAAAAGAGAGACUAGAAAGGAAAAUAAAAUUAUAGCUCUAAUCUCCUAAAACUAGGAGGGCAAUUGAAAAAUGAAAAAUGAAGAAAGCUGAAGUCGAAACAGAGUCAGCUUCCAAACGGUUUCAUCCAGUUUAAUGAAUAGGUUUUCAUACAUUUUGCCAUUUCAAUUCUCAAGUCAAUAGCAAUUUAAAUGGAAAAAUGAUUCCUUGUUUCUAUUUCAAACACAAUGAAUAGUUCGUUUUUUUACCCUAAUAGACUGAAUACUUCAACAUAUCUGGAAAACUCUAUGACCCUAUAAGUUCACCAGUUCCAUUUUCAAUAGUAAGAGCAGCAUUUUAUAAGCUAACCUAAUAUGGACGGUUUGAUCUUUGUUUAUUGCACCGUACCUUGUAACAAGUCCAAUCAUAUGGCCUUCUGAAUUGACAACAGCACCCCCACUACCACCAGGGUGCACUGCAGCGGUUGUUUCAAGCAUCGCAGGAAAAUAUUCUAACGAAUCUCCUUUGUGAUAAGAUGAGGGAAUCUUUGCUUUCACCACAUUAGACACCACACCAGAGCAAACAGAAGGGGACAAGCCUAACAAAAUUCAAACUAGUGUCAGAUAAUGUAAAAUAUAAAUAUUUAUCAUAUGUUUCUCGAGACAUUAGUAAAUUAAUUUCUGUGUAAAAAGAAAAAGGAAAAUAUCAACUUGCAUAAUUUGUUUUAAAAAUAUCAUGUGAAACAUAUACUUCUAUCCAUAAACUCCAAAAGUUUUAGAAUGGCGCAUUAUUAAGAUUACCUAUGAAAAUCUUCAUUGUAUCAAUUCUUACACACAUGGACAAUAUUUGUUUUGUUACAUUUAGGAGUUUAGUUAAUAAUUUUAUGUUUGUCCAAAUGAAAUGUAAUGGAGGCUAUAAAUUGAUACACUUUACUUAAUAUUUAAAUAAGAGAAGUUCAGGAUUUUAAAUUAAUACAAUUAUUAGUUUUGAUUAAAUUGAUACAAGUUCUUGUUUAUGGGUAUAAAUUGAUAUUUUCCCAAUAGAAAAAACAGGAACGCUAGAAAAUUAGUUAUCCCAUCCAGAUGAAAAUGUAGACAGCCAUUAUUCAGUGGAACACCACUUCAUCUGUAUAAUUAGAAAUAACACGUUCUUUUUCUUUCAAGGAAUCCUUUUAGGCAAUCAAGUAACCCAUCAAAGAAUAAUGAUGAUGACUGCAGAAUGACUAUUAAAACUAUUUAAAUGGUCUAAACUGGAUAAGAAGAAAAGGCUCCUUCAUCCGGUUCAUCCCUAAUCCCGGAACAAAACUUUUUCCAACACCAACAUGAACCAUGGCAAACUAAAAGAUCACACAACAAUAAUAAUAGACCAAUAAAUUAGAUGAAAGAGAUACCAGAUUUCGGUCCCAACAGUCCAUGCCCAAUAACAUGUAUCUUUGACCCUGAGGUUGGGCAAGAACAAUCCAUUGUAAUAGGGGAGAGCUGCUCUGGUAUUUGCUCGAGCUGCAAGAGGGCAACAUCCCAAGAUCCCUUGCAGAUGUAUAACAAUUUAGCAUCACACCAUAUCCAAGGCUCUGCAUGACUCAAGCGAACAUGCAAGUUUCUACGGCCAUAGUUAGGAAAACUUAACUUAUUAUCCUCAAGUUGGUUGUGGAGAAGAAUAUUUCCAUUUUUAGAGGCAUUUGGUUCUAUAUUUCCAAUCUCUUGGCCGCCAAAAACACUGUUAUUCAUUGAACACGGAGAAUGCUCAGUGUGGGACUGCAGCAGCUUGGCAUUUUCGAUUGAUUUUUCUCCACCAACAUUUGUUUUCCCAAAUCUCCAUGGCUCUAUCAAGUGGGCAUUCGUGAGUAUUAGGCCUUGGCUGUUGAGCAAAACGCCAGAUGCCCAUAUUCCUUCGCCCAUUGUAACAAGACAAACAGAAGCCACUGCCUUCUCAAUUUUAAAUGGGAAAGGACGAGAACAGCCAGAACUUUCUUGAAUACUGCUGAAGCCUCCCUCAAGUUUUUGUUCCUUAUUCACUGCCAUAUUCCCCACAGCACCAAUACACCUGUUGUCGUUGUCAAUCCUUUCUCCAACAUUACAAGUACCUAGCAGUAGACCACUGCAAGCAGUUGCGAUGGCUCCCCAUGGAAUCAACAGCUGUUACCAAGCCUAGAGUCUCACACAAUGCAAUAACUCCGAGUGCAAUUAAAUUAAUAGCAUGUAAAGAGGCAAACAGAUUCAUUAUACCUGAAUCUCAGCACCAGUCAUAUAAUGCACAAGUGGCCUAAUCAGAACACCAAUGAGACGUGCUUUUUCAUCAAAAACUGGACAGCCCUCCAUUCCUACCAGAGAAAGUAUCAUAGUUGUAAGAAAGAAACCACCAGAAGAAAACAGAAUACAAUAGAACAGAAAGAUAAACAUACCAGGAAGACACCGCAUGUCAGCCAUCAGUAAUGACUUGCUCAAUGAGCUAGGAGGGUAGCAAUUGGAAAUUGAUCCGACCGAUAAGCUAAUUUGGUCAAAAAAUCAAAGACUACUAGUCACACAACAGACAGCAGAUGCAAUAACAGACUCAACCUGAAUUAUUUGACAGUAUAUUUACCCCUUGAAAGCAAUUAGGAUUGGCAAACAAAAAAUAGACAAGUAAAUUCAGAAACAUGUCACCAUUGUUAAAUAUGAAAGAAGAGAAAAUCUUCUACAGCCAUCUGCAGAAUUUGUAAUCAAUCAACUACUAACAUCUUCAGUGACAUUCCAGUAUUCCAUUUAAUCAUGCUGAAACCGAUACUAACUGAACUAGAAAAACAAGAGAGGAACGGGAGCAUCUAGGAUUUAACAAAAUUUAAGUGUGAAUAGAGUCCUAAAAGUUUGCUAGUCUGGAACUGUUUGAGAACUCAAGGGUAAAAUUGUAUGAACUAUGUAACAGAUAUACCUGUUAAGAAAAUGCACUGGUGAUAGAACACCAAAAGGAGAACCAACAGCAAGAAGAAAGGAUCCUCUCUGCCUUGAGGGAGAUAUACUUAUGUUUGGCAUGUCCUAGAAAGAACUCAAAUAUUAGUAACUAGCAGUAGACAUUACAAGUAAAAAAGACAAAGCUAACGCUAUAAACAUUCAUGAAAUGCCUAACCUAUCCUGCAAUCUAUAGAAUUGAAAUUUUCUAAUGAAUGACAGGUAAGGAGAGGUAGGAAUUCACCUUUGAGAGUGAGGGAACACCAAGAAUGGCGAUUCUUAUUGUUAAGUCAUUGUUCUUGCUAGAUCCCUCCAAAUCCAAAAAUUUCUGGCUACCAACAGAAGUUCUCUUUUCAUUUUCAAUCUGAAAAUGAACCAGAAACUACACUAAGGAGACUUAAAAUUGGGGGGGGGGGGGGGGGGGGGGGGGGGGAAGGCAUAAGUAUGGAAGCAAAACAAAAUAAGUGCAAUUAUAUUAAAUUUAUUGAUGGCUCUCUUUCUUUUUCUAUUGUUUCCCAAAUAGAGUUAAAACAACUUGGGACACUCUGCGAAGCAUAAUGGAACUCUCAGUUUUGAUCUAGGUGGGUGCCUCAUUUGAGCAUUAUAUUUGGCUUCAUCCUAACCCUGCUUUUGUUGCACUUUCCACCAAAUUAAUAAAAGGUUUUUUUUUUUUUUUUUUUGGUUAAAUGGGUAUCGAUUCAGUUAGUUGUUACAAGCAAAUUCAAUUUGACAAUGUGCAAAUGCUGUAGCUUCUUCUAGGUGGCGAUACAGAAUUCUACCUACAUUGCAAGUGAACCUUUUAUAGUUUUAUAUAACGAUUACCUGAGUUGUCUUGUGAUAUAUACUAUAUAGAUUACAAGAGAAAGGGAAAUAUGUAUGACAAUUAAACUAUUUUAUCAACCAAAGGACCACUCACCAUGCUAAACUCUUACAAAUGUGGUAUGAUAGCUCUUCCUAGAGAAAAUUUGUUUAAUAGAAUAUUAACUCGAACAACCUUCAAAUUUCAUUUAUCAAGCGUUAGGUUCAUUUCUUCAAAGAGUAUUGUUUUAGUUCAUAAAUAAAAGACAGCAGAUAUUAAAACCUGUCCCCGAAGAGAAUCCCUAAAAGAUGGAGAACCAUUUGUAUAUGAGGCCAAGGACCAGCCGACCUCCCAUCUCUGAUGUAAUGAAUCUAUGGAAGCAUCCAUGACUGAUUGAAGAGCAGUGGCAGAUGUAGGUAUAUCAUACUGCAAAAUACAGUUAGCUAAAUUGACAAAAAAAAACAAUUGCAUGCCAGCUAAAUAAAUUCAAACAAGCAAUAAAUUAUUAAAACAAAAUGUGCAAAUGUUUACUAUCAGAGGCAGAGCAGGUGAGUAAACAUGGUGUUAUUGGGAAGAACACAUACUCCUAAAUUUACUUAACGUUGUUUUAUACGGUAGUGGGAUCAGAAAACCUUAUAGCUUGAAAUAAAACUGACAUAAAAAAUAAAGGCUGAACCUUAUCCAUGAUUACAGAAAUUUACCCUGUGAGUUAAACUUCACCCCAUAAAAAUAGAAGUCUAAUUUGGAUUUCAUGAAACUGUUGGAAUCCCAACUAAAUAGUGAGAAAAAUGAAUGCCUACCAAAGCCAACAAGUGUGCAGCAUGCCAGUGAGGAGUUUUGCUAACAUCAGAAUCUCUCGAGAUACCCUGUGUCGCAAGGGAUUAUUCAUAUGUGAGUUUUGAAUGCUAAAUUAACCAUUCAAGAAAACUUAUGAAUUUAUCAAAUAUACAAUUACAAUUUACAAUCUUAUAAAUUAUACCUCAACCAUAAUGUCAAUCUGAACACCAGGAAUUAACUCAGGCUUUCCCUGCAGCUCGUAAAAAGGCUAAUCAAAUAAAUUGACCCAAUUAAUCACAUACAUAAGAAGUGGAAAAAAUAAUUUUAUAACUACAACAAAACCCAGAACAGUGACAAUUCCCCCCUUCUGCAGCAUUGUAAGUGAAGUUAACCUUAUGAAUCUUAUCUCUGUGUUGAAGUGGCAUAAAAGGCUCAAAAAUGGAGGAAACAGUAAGAACCAAUGUUGCAAAUUGAUCCUUAUAAUUACCAAGAUGCUUAGCGGCCCUGGUGUCAUAAAGGGUUUCAGGUAAUAUCAUUCCAGAUGCUGAAAGAGUUGUCCUCCCAGAACUUCACAUGCCAAAAAAGUAAAGGGAAUCCAUUAAUUAUUUUCCAAGUUAAAGACAUACAACCCCUAAAAAACAAUCUAUCAGAUAAGAAAUUCUCACUGAUACUGAUGGAAUGCAUGUUUUUGCAUCUUCAGGCCCUUCGGGUCCUAAAUCAUAAGGCUCGCUGAUUUUUCACCAUCUCAACGGAAAUUGAAGCAUGGGAACAUGGAAAAGGGGCAAGAAAGAUAGUGACUCACAGGGCCUUGGACUCUGACCAUGAUGGCAAAAUUUCUAGCAUGAUCCACAAUUUCACGUUUCGCCAUGACAGGAAGAUUGGCUGAUUUAGAGAAAGAGUACAAGUUCAAAAUAAAAAUAAGCUCAAUUGAAAAAACAAUUAUGCACUUUUUCCACCAUUCCUAUGAAAAUAAACUUAAAAUUCAAAGGCGAGAUAAUGAAAUGAUUCUGCUAUUGCCUUCAGGUAGAAGCUUACAAUUUGUGAAACCACACUAGCCCAGCCAGGCAUCCACAUUCUAAUACUUAUACCGAGUAAAUAAAAAGAUUCUCAACACAUUCCUUGAUGAAUUCACUGAUCUGAAUUGUCUGGUCUUAAUUUUGCAUUAAGAAAUGUGUUUUCUACAACUAGGAGUUUGCUCGUUUCUCCUACAACCUAAACUAAACCCCUCAAGCCACUAGCAUAUCAUGAGAGGAUUUCCUAUCCAUAACACAUAGGAUUGUCAAUUUAGAAGAAAAUGCAAAAAAGAUCCUUUACGCAUAGGAUUAUACUCUUUAUUUUUGUCAAAAAAAUCAACGUUCACAUAAUAAAAAAAACUAAAUUAAAGUCCUUGAUUGUUUAAAAUCUAAAUAAAAUUAUUAGUAUCAAUGUCUGUCAUUUAAAUCUGAAUAGAAUUACUAUUGCCGCUAUUUCAUAAAACCCCAACUUCCGUUAAAUAUCAAUUACAGAUACCUUAUUACUCUCCGUUCUUAUCGUAAAUACAGUGACAUUAAUUAAUAAUUAAAUUCAAAUGAGAAUAAAAACAUAAAACUACAUUAUUUACUAUACAGCUAAGAAUGGAUAAAAACAAAAAAUCAAAAGUUUUUUUCCCAAGCCAUUGUAUUAUAGACUAAAGGUUUCUUCCAAUCGUCUUCGUUCCGUAUUUAUCCUCGUUAGGUCAUGGUAUUACAUUCUGUGAAUUAUCCACAAAAACCAAAGUCAUCAAGCACUUACCUUACUAAACUUUCUACUUGUGUCCCUUCCGUCUUAAUUUGAACUUUAAUAUUUUUCACUAAAUACAGAUAAUAGAACGGAAUUUGAAGAUAGUUAAGUUAAUUACAUUGAUUGUAUGUGAAUAUCCAAUCCACAACCAAAGCACUUGAUUACUUGAUUUCUCAAGCAGGAAUCAAAUUGGGAAAAGUCGAAAAUCAUAAUCAAUCAAAAUAACUUCAAUGAUUAAUCUUGAUUGUACGUUGAAACACAUUGAAGAACUUAAUGACACACCAUAAAUUUACAGAUAUUUAUUAAACCCAAGAAAAACACGACCAACCGAAAGUAUCUUCUAUGUUCCUCUCAGAAAUAUAGUAAAUACUUUACUAGCAGAUACAUGAUUAUCCGCCAAACGUCCUUAUCUAUAAUAAUCGCCCGCAAUCAUCCAAGAAAUUCAAAUCAACUUCACAUGCGGUGAACGGAAGGAUAGAAGAUAACAGAAAGCGAAGACGAAGAAGAUAAAUAAUGAAAUAGAAAAUUAAAAAAAAAAAAAAAAAAAAAAAAAAAUUGAAGGUAAGUUCAUAGUAAAUCCAAAGAUAGUUAAAAGACGAUUGAAGAAAAAUUGUGGGGAAUGAGUUACCUGUGAAGUAGUGUGAGAAAGGAAGAUGAAGAGGCCGGUGUGGAGGAUAGCAGCUUCGGUUGAGGCAAUCAGCAGUAGACCUUCUUCUACAGGAGACGCGCGGGUAAGAUGCUGCACAAAAUCAGAAAUGUUAUCUUACGGCACGCCUAUUUAUAGUGUUACUAAUUUAAUAUUAUAUAUAAACUAUUUACCCUAAGGUUAUAAUUAAAUUUUGGAUGAUUGUCAAAAAUAGAAAAAGAAAGAAGAAAAUACUACAAGUUUAGUAUUCCACUUAAAAUUAAAAAUAGAAUAAUCUAAGCUUUGGUAAGUGCAUUUUAGAAUUUAAAUUUUGUAAUAUAUGAUUGAUUCUACUCAUUUUUUUUGAGGUUUAGAAUUUUGAAUUUUUAAAAUUUUGAUGGAUGUAAAUUUAUAUUUAGUAAAUUAAUUUUGUUGAUGAAAAAAGUUAAUUUAGUUUUGAUAAAACUCUCACCAUAUAGGUUUGAUAAAACAUUCAUAAGCUCAUAAAAUAGUAUUUUAAGGUUAAAUUCUAGCUCUAAUUUAUAUUAUUUUUUUAAUGGUAGGAGUUAGAUUAUAAUUUAAUUAAACUAAACUUGUAAUUUGGUUUAAACGUAUUAAUGUCUUAAAAAGAUUUGCUAAUAGUUAAUUAUGUGUUUAGUAGAAUUAACUUGUCAAAUCAUAGAGGACUAAUUAUAUAAAUAAAAAAUAAAGAAAAGUGUUAAUAGGUAUUCACAUUAAAAGGAACUAAAUGAAUUUCACCAUAGCCAAUCAAAUGUUGUCGCGUAUUCGUUUUUGUCCUUUUGAAGUGUAUAUAUCGUUGUUUACACAUUUUUUUUAAAUGGAAAACAAAGGGUGAGGUGAAGCAUUAUUCUGAUUUUAAUGCAACCAGUAAAUUGAAUCAAAUGGAGUUGGGUUUUUAAGUUAAAUGUUGGAUUUUCUAUCUUAUAAAUGUAAAAAAGAACAGAAAAAAUUAUACAACUGUUGUUAAUUAAUUUAUUGAUCUAUUAUCUUUUGAAGAAUUUUCUAAAAGUGUUGUUAAUGUUCAGUGCCAUGAUAUUCUAAAAUUGUCAACAAUAGCUGCGGGUACUAACCAAUAAUCUUGAGAAAGUCCUAGUGGGAAAAAGAAUCAAAACACUAUCCUGCAUAAAAAAUGAAAAAAUAAAGCAAUAUACAUCAAAAGAGAAAAAAAGAAAAAAGUAAUUCUAACUCUUCUGUUGUGACAAAAGUACUAAGCCCAUGUUGCCAACAAAGACAUGCCUCCAACUCCCAUCAAAACAGCAACAUAAGCCCAUAUAUGCAGCUUGAGAUUGGCUUGCAAUUUUGGCCCCUUGAAAUCAUGCGCCAAUAAAUUAACCAACGCCAUGUAAUUCAGCAACCCUGCCGAUAAAGCAUUCAAAAUCCCCACUACUAUUAGCGCCGUCGGACUAUUCUCACUGUACACGUUCGACAACACAAUCCCCAAUCCUAUUCCAAACGGCGUCGUAACCGAGAAGAAAAACACCAUUAUCGCCUUCAUCUUUAUCCUGUAUUGCGCCUGCAGAAUGCACCCUCCAAGCCCCAUCCCUUCAAACAGUUGAUGAAAGCACAGCGCAGCGAUGAGCGGUCUUAUGGUGCACGGAUUCUCCGAAGCCCCUAGUGAAAGCCCUAUCACUACCGAAUGCACUACAAUCCCAGCUUCUAGUAUUUGCGCGAUAACACGGUGUCGUAGCAAUUGCGACCCGAGUUUUUCUCCGGUUCCUUCUUCUUUCCCCAAAUUUUCACUCAUUUCCUUGCGGUCCUCAUUAUUGAUCUCCUCCUCCUCUUCUGAUAAUUGAUCCUGCAUCGACUGUUUAUUGAAGUGACUCAACGAAAACGAGUCCAACAUUAGAGUCAUGAUAGCGGAAAGCAUUGCUAUGAAUGUGGGGAAAGGGAAUUUCCGCCAUGGAUUCUCUGGCAAACAGGGGGAUGUUAAGAAAUCGUAGGAAUCAGGGAGAACGUGCAUAUAACCAGUUGCUAGAAUCACACCGGAGGCAAAUGCCUUGACGAUUGCAAAGGUUUGUCCGUCUGGAUGAAGAACUGGUAUGGCGCGGGAGAAGAGAGGAAGAGAAAUGCCGAUCAUGCUCGCGACUAAAAUGGUAGCAAUGGAGAUGAGCUUGAGUUUGAGGGACUCGGCUCUGUCAUGGCAGUCUUGUUGAAGCUGAGCUUCACAUUCGGAAUCGGGAGAUGGAAUUGAAUCUGAAAAUGAUAGGGAAAUGAAGGACAAGAGAAGGAGAAGGAAUAUGAGAUUACGAGCCAUGGCUGUGCUAAAACUAAUCCAAAAAUAUGUGAGUUCUUUACUGAUUUCUGUUGAGAUUUAACGGAUUCAAACUGCCAUUGAAAUGGCGGUAAUAGCCUCCAUUGGUCGAAAGAAAAAAAUGGAGUCAGAUUCUAAACUAGAGGUGAAAUGAAGGGUAUUUUGAUAAAUGGACAUGGAAUUGUAAAACUUGAGGUGGGCGUGUGGAAGUUGUGACGUGCACACAGGUAUGACUAGACUUUCGUCGAGGAGAUUUACUCUCUACAGCUGACGUGGCAUCGAUUAUUUACUUUUACCAUGCGUUACAAUGCCACGUAGAUUGUAUCUCCCUCUCUAUAAGGUAUUUUCAACUUAAUAAUUCAACCACUUUUAAUUCAUAUUUUCUCAAACGUGUUUAUAUCCUAUUUAAUUUAUAAAUGAAGUUUAUUUUCUUUCAUAGUUUAUAAAAUUUACCCAUUUGAUUAAUUUUCCAAAAAAAAAGCUAAUGAAUGCAUGAAUUUCGUUUCUCGUAGAAAAUCUCCACAAAGAGAUUAUACUGUCUAACUUCUUUUAAGUCCUAUAAUUUUUAGAAAAUAAGGGCACACUCAAUCAUAUAAUUUAAUAUUAAAUAAUAAUAUAGAACAAAAGUGAUAUAAUUAAAUUAUGCAACUAAUUAUACAAAACGAAAACGUUAAAAUAGUUUGGACUUAAGUAGUAGUGAAAUCACUUGGCCUUAACUCAACUCAGAUCCCUCUGCCAAAAGGUUAGCAGAGACCAUUGCAAACUUCAAUGUACAAGAAAUUAAUCAACCAAGGCAUCUUUCACAUUCAGCCACAAAUUAAAACAAUAUAAAUAUGACGUCCAAUGGCAUCUUAUCUAAACAUAAACUAUCAUUAUUAUAUGUUUCAUAUCAACAAAUUAAACUUUAUUUUUUAUUUUGUUGUCUUAAUCAAGACCUUACAGAACACUUAAACUGCAUACAUAAAAUCAUCAUUAACUAAACUCAUCCAAUAACUUGAAAUAACUUAAUUUUCUACUGGCAUUUAAGGAAUGAUAUAUUAUUAAAUUUAUAUUCUCUUGUAGAUUUAUCAACUUGAAGGAACGGACAUUUUUACAAAGCAUUUUAAAAUAAGAAAGGAGAAAAAUGAGUGGAUAAAACACAUUCAAUUCUAAGAUGGUUGAACUCAGGAAAUAAGAAAUGGGUAGGUGGGUAAAUAGGGAAGUGAUUGCAUUGGGAACAGCCAUGAAAAUGAUUGUAUGUAAAUGAAUUCUCUGUGCUGCUUAGAGGAUCUGAAAUCAAAGAUUAUUUCAUUGUAAUUACGAGAGGGAAAGAGUAUGUAGAUAAACGACCCAUUGACUUUUUCUUUCUAAAAUGUGGCCUUAUGGUCUCGUUCUAAAAAGAAAAGCAUAUUUGAAGCAUUAAGCUGCAAACAUUGUUAUUGUUAAAUUGGUAGAACAGAUUUACAAAUUACAAACAAAUAAGGAAAUAAUAAAAAGGAAGAGAUGAUUUGUAUACAAAAUGACUAAAAUACGGUAGAUUGAUUUAUUUGGUAGAGUAUGGAAAUUGGUAUAUUAUGUAAAUUGCAUUUUUGAUGAAAGAGCGUUCCAAAAUUCUUUGGUGUUGUGUGCUUUUUUUUCUUUUUAUUUGUUUAAUCAAAAUCUGAUGCCGUGGAAAUUUCGUAAAACCACGAAAACGAGGCUCCCUCCCUCUCGGCUCUGAUAUUUUGCUCCACCGCCCCCUUCCAUCGUGCUCUACGAACCUCAAUUUUUCUCAACUUACAACUUCUUUUCCUUCUUUCUUCAACUUAUUUUGCUUCAGACCGAAGCAAUGCCGGCUCGAAAGCGCGCUUACGACUCUCUCGAUGUUGAUCUUUUGCCGCCGCGACUCCAUAAUACCUUCAACAAUGAACGCUCUCAAGAUGAACAAUCUCAGGGUACGCUUCUACUUUCUCUUCACCAACCUUAAUUUUCACGAUGUACCCUAUUCUUUCAUCUUCCUGCAUUUCAUAUAUCUUAUUAUUUCUUCUUUUAAUUAUUUUCUUUGUGUUUGUACUGAGUUCGUGGUGUUCUUUCUCGUUCCUUCUUUUCCCAGAAUCCGAUCGAAGCUCUUCGUCCAGUCAAGGAGAUGAGGACGAGUAUGUUCCGUUUAUGAGCUCUGUUUUGCGUUUGCUUCUUUUUGUUCGUCUUCUUUUUCGUGUUGUUCCCUUUUACUCUAUUUACUCUUUUGAUUUAUUUCGUCUGGUUGGUUAUGGAGUUUCUUUGGUGGCUAACUGGCUGGGAUUGAUUUGGGAUCUGCAUGGUGUGCUUCGUGGUAUUGUUCAUUGAGGUCUUGCUGUGACCGUAUUCGAAGACCAGCUGUGUAGGCUUCACGUACUGAGGCACUCGUCGAUUUUUUUCCUGCACCGGAGUUUUCCUUACUUUCAAGUUUUGCGUUCCUUUUCCGAUUAUAGUUAGUAGAAUUGGGAGCUGGAUCUUGUGGGAGAAGUGGGUUCUCGAGGUUGUAUGUGCGAUCAAUCUGUUUUUACAUAUGCUAUGAGUUGCUGGGUGGGUAAUGACGAUGGAGCUCACAUGGUUUUAGCUUCUUUAUGAUGUUAAAGCUCACAUGAUUCGAGAUCAAUUAUUGACUCAACGUGGAAUCAAGCUUACUAUAACUGAAGCGUUCACGGGAAAAUUUUGGUGGUUCCCGCCAUUGAUUAUCGGAUCCAAUUUUACGCAAUUUCCAAUAGGUUAACGACUGGAAAUCCCGGCAUUUCAUUAGGAACGACUUUACCCAAAUUCUUGACAGCUUGAGCGGUGCCCUUUCGCUCACGCGAUGAACGAACUAUUUGGGUUUGGGUCGUGUCAUAGAAUAUUUGUGUUUGAGACUAUGAACAGAAAGUUGUUUAUCGGUUCUAUAGUUGCAUGGUGAACAGUAGAAUUCCUUGAACAAUUAACACGAUCUUAGGUGUUUUGCGAUUGUUCCGGCAUCCUAAAUUUCUGUCUGGUUUUCUUUUCCAGAUUUAUCGCCGUGAAACUGUCAGACAUUCGGAAAGAAGUUCAGUGUCCAAUCUGCUUAGGUAUGUUUGACUAAUUCCUUCUUGCUGAACAUAUUUAUCUCACGUAAGAAAAGAUUUCUAUUGAUUUGAACAUUUGGUUUGAAUACUUAUACAAUUUGCGGUCUCCAAGUGCAUAAACAUGCUUACUACUUGAAAACGAUCUAGCUGUUUAAUAUAGGUUUCAAUGUGUUAUCCAGGUCUUUACUGACUUUUACAAGAUUGUUGUUACAUACUGAAAAUCAAUCAUCAUAUAUAAUUAACUUACUUUUGUUAGUUUGUAAACUGACCUACCAAUAAGGCUAUUUCAAAUAAUUUAAUUCCGGGAUGAAAUGCUGUGGAGUAGAGGAUUAAUUUUUCCACCUCCGAGUGAGUGAAUUAUUUCACAUAUGAGGCUAUGGGAUUUGGUUUUCAUUUCUUUUGGUGUUCAACGUUCCUAUUGGAACCUUACCAUUUCAGGCUACAUAUAAGUUCAUUUGGAGCCACUGGUUUGUAAUGUUGUUACAUGUUUGCACACAACAAUUUGUAAAUUAAUGCCCGUAUUGUCAAGAUUCUUGUUCCUUGCUUUCAGUUUAUGCACUGACAGCUAACACGAAAAUAUCUUCCUUAUCAUAAGACAAUAACUAAAUUCCAAAUCAAAACAUUCCUAAAAUUUGACAUUUUUCAGUGGUUGUAUUAAGUACUAUGAGCCAUGACAUUCUAAGUCUUGGCAUGUUUGGAAAAUAUAUUUAGGUGAAUUUGGUGAGGUUACCUCAGAGUCAUUUUGGAUGUUUAUGCAUGAGUAGUUUUCUUAAGGUGGUCGUUAAGUGUUUUUCAAUUCAUAAUGUGCAGGAAUCAUAAAAAAAACCAGAACAGUUAUGGAAUGUCUGCACCGCUUCUGCAGGGAAUGUAUAGACAAAUCGAUGCGUCUAGGGUAUGUCCUUAUGUAAUUUUUAUUUUGAUUUUUCUAAUUGAUGUACAGCUCAAGAAAAUAAAUAAGUAUCGUCGCAAAGUUUCCCUCUACCUUCCAGUAAACUUGUACUAAAAUUUGCUGCAGUAACAAGGAGUGCCCUGCUUGCCGCACUCAUUGUGCCAGUCGACGCUCUCUGAGAGAUGAUCCAAACUAUGAUACCUUGAUUGCUGUGUUGUAUCCAGAUAUUGAAAAAUAUGAGGAAGAGGUGGGAAUAUUAUGUUUUAGCUUGCAAGCGUGGUGUUUGAUAAAUGAUAAUUGAUAUCGCCAUUUCUGCAUGCUCCAAUUUUGUUAAUUUAUCUCUUUUAUGGAUAGGAACUGGCUUUCCAAGAAGAAGAGAAAGCUCGUAAUAAGCAGGUGAGAAGGCUAAGUUCUGCGAAUUUGUUUGUUUCCAGAGUUAAUAAGUUCACUUUACAUUGUUCAAUAUACAUUAAACCACAUAUUUUGUUGUGCUAAAACCGACCAAGAGAGGGAGAGAGGAAUUAUUUAAGUCAUUAUUCGAUAUGCAAUGAAAAGUUGUGGGGGCAAUUGGGACAUGAAAUAGAGCAUGUUUUUCUUCGUUGUUGUGCUUUUCUAUUCCAUUUAACUUGGAAACAUCUCGGGCUGAACAUCAAAAUGGUUAUUAUAGAUUGUACUUGUAUUGGGUAUAUAUGAUCACGCUUACUUUUAUCUUCAUGUUUUGUUUAAAAUGUUACUUUUUGAUUAUUCUACAGAUCCAAACUUCCAUAGCUCAGACACUUCAACGACAAACUGAAUCUUUGGGUAGGAAACGUUCUAAACCUUCGAGGAGAUUAAGUUCUAGAGGACCCAAAAGCUUCCAAAAUCAUAUUGAAAGUCUAUGCUUUGAUGAGAAUGAGGACGAAAAUGAUUAUGAUGUCAGCAAAAAUUCAUCUUCUGCUGAUGAGCGCAUGGACACUAGACCUAAAAGACCCAGGAGAUGUGGUCCUGUUAGAUUUUCACAGUCUUCUUCAGCUACCGGAGCAGACGGAGCAGAUGGUGGUGGUAUUGAACAUGAAUAUGAAGUUAACAAAGAAAAAGUUGGUGCAUCUUUAGGGCUUGUUGGUAGCUCGGAAAAACUUUCUUGGGGCAAAGGUGGAAUAAGAAGUCACACUAGAUAUGGGGGUACAAAUGGGGGGGCUGGUAAAAUUUCCAGGAAUAACCGCAUCGCGAAGCUGUCAGAUUAUGUUCGAAACUCAGAAAAUGUCAGUGAGGAGGAGGUAAAAACAACUAUUUGAUGUGUUACUAAACUUCCUUAUGAAUAAACUGUGGACAUGUUAACGUGUAGAAAGGGCUCGCCUACUUAAUCACAUGCAUUUUGCUAUGCCUCUUUUAGAUGCUGCUUAAGAGCUCAACAAUCUUUUAUUGUUUCUAUUCAUCAAUGACUUUUGCCUACUCUUCCUGAUUUUAGUUGGACAUCCACGUUUUGCUCGUUUCCAUGGAUAGAACUAUACCUGCAUUGCAAAGACCAUAUAUUUGCUGCAGGCCUUCAGUGAUGAUUGGACACCUAAGUCAAGUAAUCAGUUAUUUAAUGGAGCUGCACUUUAUCUGUUUAAAGUCUUUAUUCAUUUAUUUAGUUAAUUCUUGAGCUUCCUUUCUUCCACAGUACGUUGCUCUUGAAACCUCACUUUCAGUGGACGUUGUUGAAAUAUGCGUGGCAAAAGAGCUUCAGGUGAAACUCGAUCCUUCCACCUCUGAAGCGACAAAGAACCCAUGUAAAGAAAGUGUACAGAUACUAAACGAGCAAGAGACACUAUCGACAGCAAAACUCAAAGCACACAGGCUAGCUUGUGGCUAUCUGGUAAAAGUUGCACACUACAUUUAUAACCAUUUGUACAAGCCUUUUGUACCACAUUUUAAGCUUGUUCCCUUGAUUCCAGCUUUUGGCAUAUAAGAAAAAGGGCUAGAGUUCUGCUGAUGAAGAGGAAUUUGUUUGGCUAAGAAGAAAAAGCACUUGUGCUUACUAGCAAUUCAUCCUUGAAGAUUUUGGCAAAUCUCCAUACGUAUAUAUCAACUCAAGAUACCAAGGGCUAUAAGAAGUUCCUGCUACAGGUCUUUUUCCCCCAUCUGAAUGUGUUGUUUAACAACUCCCUCGUUAGUUUCUUGCUACUGCUUUCUCCAUUUCUCCAUGUAUAUGUGCCAUUUUCAUCAACCUUGCAGUAUUUAACUGACUUUAAACAGAUAAAAGUUCUGAUAAGUGAAUAUAUAUACCAUGGAGUAUGGAUUACAAUCCAUUUUCAUGAUAGUUUAUUAUUGAAUGGUGGAGUUCUUAUGAUCUUCUUUUAACAAUUUAUGUACAAAUGCUCAUGUUGCUCUAAGACAAAUGAAUUCUAAACUUAAAUGAGUUAUAACUUCGCCUAGAGACGGUGCAAAAUUUUAGUCAAACUUAGUUAUGUGGUUGAUUCCCUCUCAGAAAACCAAUUGGAAUUGAUCUCUCAACUGCUAAUUAAAAUUGGCCCAAUAAUUAAGAUUGAUGUUAUGGAAUUAAAGUAAAAUCGAUGAUGUAAGAUUGAAUAAAAUAAACGUUGUAAUAAUUCUAACCUUCAACCUAGCUCAUUGAUUACGACUCUAUCCUUAUCCAUAAACCGCUUGUAUUGUUGUUUGUUAUUAUUCCUUUUGGAUUUUCCCAAACUUUUAAUACAUUUGUGGGGCCAAGGUGGAAAUAAGUAGGCCCCCACCGUAGAGGUUUUUAAAGCUUGGUGGGUCCAUUCCAUUACUAACAUUUCAAUACAAUUACACGCCAUCUAUGUAAUCAAGAUUGGAUAUUAUCACAAUUUAAUGCGCUAUCAGCAUCAUAAAAUAUCAACUUAUUCAAUGACAGAAAAAACACCAUCUUUAUUUAAACGGCAAUCAUGAGCCAAUUUUAUCACCGCCCUGCACGGCGGACUAUAUGAAGUAGUCGUCCCAUCAUUGGCUGUGUCAGCACACUUAACCCCUACUUAACUAUAGACUCACACAAAUUUAACACUACAAUUAUAAAAACUUGCUUGGGACAACUCGGAUGCGAAGAAACCUAGUUAGAAGAUGUAUCUCACAUACACAUCCAGAACCCACCGGCUCACGUCACCACACACGACACUAUUUACAUUCAACCGCCGUCGUAGCCACCGCUUAACGGUGCUGGCUCUUGGUGUCACCGCUGUAGAGCCUGAAACCGCAAAACAAAGAGUUUCAUGUCAGUUUGAUAUACGACAAAAAUAGAGGACUCAUCCAAGCCCUCAGAUGUCAGAACCAUGACCAAGUCAACAGAUCUGACGGCUUUGGAUUUCACUCGGGGGAAUCAGAACUUCGAAUCGUUUUUUUUAUCAUCCACCAACUGUUGGGAAUAUUAAGGACAAGAUACCCCAGAAUCUAAUUUUACUUCACCAUCACCAUAAUUAUAUUCCACUCGGCGGCGCGUGGAUUACAGUCGCCCCAGUGAAAAGUUGAUGUACGUACCAGUCAUAAACAGUUGGAGAAUUGGGUUGAG
rnacentral:lncRNA from 1 species